rnacentral:tRNA from 1 species
AGAUAAAUUAAAACGCCUGACUGUUAAUCAGAGGGUCCUUGGUUCGAGUCCAAGAGGGG